rnacentral:rRNA from 1 species
UACGUAGGGGGCAAGCGUUGUCCGGAAUCAUUGGGCGUAAAGAGCGUGUAGGCGGCCAGAUAAGUCCGCUGUGAAAACUCGAGGCUCAACUUCGAGCUGUCGGCGGAAACUAUCUGGCUAGAGUCCGGAAGAGGAGAGUGGAAUUCCUGGUGUAGCGGUGAAAUGCGUAGAGAUCGGGAGGAACACCGAUGGCGAAGGCAGCUCGCUGGGACGGUACUGACGCUGAGGCGCGAAAGCGUGGGGAGCGAACAGG